GAUACAAAACACAAUAUAUUCAAAUAAAUUGUGCCUUUUAUGUUUCUAUACGUAAUCUGAAGAAUAUGAGCAAUUCGAUAGGCCAUAACUUGAUUCACCAUAAUUUGCUUGCUCUUGUGGUGCUAGAGCAUCAAAGUAAGAUUAAUUCCUCUUGCAUUUCUAGUUACAAUUUGUUUCAAGUUCAGGCAAAUUCACAGAUUCGAAAGCCGCAUAUCACUUCCAAAUUCUGGGGAAAAUGUCUGAAUUUAUGGAAAACGAAGUUGCCGAUGGGAACAAAUCGAGUGCUUUCUGUUUUUCCUCAGUCUGUGUUAGCCACCGAUCCAACUUCUAAGCAACUUACAGAAAGUUCAACCUUGAUGGAAAUACGAAAUUACAGGUGGUUGUUAGUGCUCCUACUUCAGGUUCUGUAUCAGAAAUAGAUAUGCAGAUCACUAAUACUAGUGGCACCUUAGUUCUUCACUGGGGUGGGAUACAAAAUGGAAAAGACCUGUGGAUUAUGAGCCUCCAUUCUUCAGAAACUGCACAGAACAAGAAGCUCAUAGCCAAUGGACUAAAAAUCCUUUGAAAAUUGAGAGGUUGGGAAUGUCAACAACAAACAUUUUGUAUUAGCUCUCAAGGUUAAGAGUAUGCUUGAUCCUUGUGAAGAUGAAAAUGAUGACAUUCAAGACGAUGAUGUGAGCUUGGGAGCUGAUUUUGUACAAAGGGAUGAGCAUUCUGAAUCUGUCAGUGAGGUACUGUGUUAACAUUUCUUUAUUGUUUGUUCUCCAUGAGCUUCACUAACUGCUGAAAGCUUGAUUUGCCAUAUAGAACAAGUGUUUAGUUAACUACUUGUCAAUUUGUAACCCACUUUGUGUUAGCCAUUCGCAAGAUAACCAAUACAUAGUCGCGCCAAUAGGUAAUUACAUGUCUUUGUGCUCAGCUGUUUCAGCUUGUUUACAUAUUAGGUGUUUCCAGUAUUCUCUGAAGUUUGAAAUGUGAAUGACAUUAGUUCUUUUGACAGAUAAGCAGCAGAAUUGUGAUGAUAAUGGAUGACAUGGUUGAUGAAGGUGAUAACGACCCAUGAUGGGUUUCUUGAUGCCAAAAGCAACCAGAGGCUAGGCUAGGCCCACUAUGUAUCAAGUUGUAAAGGAGAUGGUUGACAAGAUGGGCUAUGCAGUGAAGGUUGUUCGAGUCACCAAGAGGGUACAUAAAGCAUAUUUUGCUCAGUUAUACCUCAC